GACGAACGCUGGCGGCGUGCUUAACACAUGCAAGUGGAGCGACGAACCAGGGCUUGCCCUGGGGCAGAGCCGCGAACGGGUGAGUAACACGUGGGUAACCUGCCCCGAUGACCGGGACAACCCGAGGAAACUCGGGCUAAUACCGGAUGAAAUCACGAGACAUAAGUUUUGUGAGAAAAGGUAGCUUCGGCUUCCGCAUUGGGAUGGGCCCGCGGCCCAUUAGCUUGUUGGUGAGGUAACGGCUCACCAAGGCAACGAUGGGUAGCUGGUCUGAGAGGACGAUCAGCCACACUGGGACUGAGACACGGCCCAGACUCCUACGGGAGGCAG
rnacentral:rRNA from 1 species